CAAGGCCGGAGCCUGAAUUAAAGCUCUUCAAGGAAGAUGGAGCAAAGGUCUUGGCUGCACAGGACCAUGGAGGGAGCACUGCACACAAUGGAAUCAACUUUCAUCUAUUCUUUAAAGAAAGCAAUAAAUGUUGCAGGCCUGUUUAUCAAAGGAACAAAUAUGAAAGGAAAGAUGUUGCUUUGAAGAGAAUAUGGAUGAAUUCCUGGCAAAUGAGGGCUCGAGGUGCAAUUUCCUGAAGUUCAAAU